GUUGGAUCUUGGUGAUAAUUUUGGAGGAUGAUCCUAAGGGCGAUCCGUGAGGAUCCGACCGUUGGAUCAUCAUAUAAUUUCAAUCCGACUGUUGGAUCGUCUUUAUUUUAGAACCUGACCAUUGGAUCGUCAUUUAAGUUUAUUUCGUGUUUCGAUUACUAAGCAAAGACCCUACUUGAUUAGGUACUUGACGGUUUGAGUUGACGAGCGUUUGGAAUAUUGAUAUAUUCGACUUUUUAGAAGACGCAGCUGGAUUAGAGCGGGUAAUCUCACAGGUCAGGAGAAUCAGGCAGUGAUCGUGCAGUUUAGAGUACUAGUAUUAGAUUUACAGCAUUUGUUUUGUGAGGAGAAUUAUACUCAUUUGAGUUUUACAAUUUGAUUUGGUGAGAGUGUGCUGUAAUAAGUAGCUUGAGGAUUUGGUUUAUGUAA